GCCCAAAUAGCUCAGUUGGGAGAGCGCUGCCCUGAAGAGGCAGUUGUCGCUGGUUCAAGUCCGGCUUUGGGCA
rnacentral:tRNA from 4 species